GAUGAAGAACGCAGCGAAAUGCGAUAAGUAAUGUGAAUUGCAGAAUUCAGUGAAUCAUCGAAUCUUUGAACGCACAUUGCGCCCGCCAGUAUUCUGGCGGGCAUGCCUGUUCGAGCGUCAUUACAACCCUCAGGCCCCCGGGCCCGGCGUUGGGGAUCGGCGGAAGCCCCCUGCGGGCACAACGCCGUCCCCCAAAUACAGUGGCGGUCCCGCCGCAGCUUCCAUUGCGUAGUAGCUAACACCUCGCAACUGGAGAGCGGCGCGGCCACGCCGUAAAACACCCAACUUCUGAAUGUUGACCUCGAAUCAGGUAGGAAUACCCGCUGAACUUAAGCAUAUCAAUAAGCGGAGGA
rnacentral:misc_RNA from 1 species